GACGAACGCUGGCGGCGUGCUUCAUACAUGCAAGUCGAACGAGAAGCUGACUUCGGUCAGUGGAAAGUGGCGGACGGGUGAGUAAUAUGUAGGAAAUCUGCCUUUAGGUGGGGGACAACAGAGGUAAACUUCUGCUAAUACCCCAUAUGAGCGUAGCUGAAAUGCUAUUCUUGAAAACUCCGGUGCCUAAAGAUGUGCCUGCAUCUGAUUAGCUAGUUUGUAGUGUAAUGGACUACCAAGGCGACGAUCAGUAGCUGGUUUGAGAGGAUGAUCAGCCACAAUGGGACUGAGACACGGCCCAGACACCUACGGGAGGCAGCAGAAGGGAAUUUUGCGAAAGGGGCGAAAGACUGACGCAGCAACGCCGCGUGAACGAUUAAGCCCUUCGGGGUGUAAAGUUCUGUCAGUGGGGACGAAACUUGACGGUACCCACAGAGGAAGCACCGGCUAACUCCGUG
rnacentral:rRNA from 1 species